rnacentral:rRNA from 1 species
UACGGGGGGGGCAAGCGUUGUUCGGAAUUACUGGGCGUAAAGGGCUCGUAGGUGGCCAACUAAGUCAGACGUGAAAUCCCUCAGCUUAACUGGGGAACUGCGUCUGAUACUGGAUGGCUUGAGUUUGGGAGAGGGAUGCGGAAUUCCAGGUGUAGCGGUGAAAUGCGUAGAUAUGUGGAGGAACACCGAUGGCGAAGGCAGCCCCGUGGGUUAACACUGACGCUCAUGCACGAAAGCGUGGGGAGCAAACAGG